rnacentral:rRNA from 1 species
GUGUCAGCAGCCGCGGUAAUACGAAGGGGGCGAGCGUUAUUCGGAAUCACUGGGCGUAAAGCGUGCGUAGGCUGUUUGACAAGUUGGGAGUGAAAGCCCAGGGCUCAACCCUGGAACUGCUCUCAAAACUGUCAGACUAGAGUCCGGGAGAGGAUAGCGGAAUUUCCAGUGUAGUAGUGAAAUACGUAGAUAUUGGAAGGAACACCAGUGGCGUAAGCGGCUAUCUGGACCGGUACUGACGCUGAGGCACGAAAGCGUGGGGAUCAAACAGGAUUAGAAACCCGGGUAGUCC